rnacentral:tRNA from 1 species
GCGGCCAUCGUCUAGUGGCUCAGGAUUCCUGCCCUUCAAGCAGGAGACGUCGGUUCAAAUCCGACUGGCCGUGCCA